GGUUAAUCUGCAAUUCAGAUUAAUACCAACAGUCUGGGUUUAAUUUUUUCACUGUCGAAGCAACACCGGUCCAACAGCUGAGGCAAGGGAGUCAGCAGGAAGUUUCCGUGUGAAAGUUUGAUUUGACAACAUGAGGCGAAGGGAGGUACUGAAAAACAAUGAAAGCAUUCUCACGUCCACAAAGAAUCUCGCUUGCUGAAUUAUGAGCACAACUUCCAACGGCAAUGUACUCUCCUGUGGAACAGUUUAAGCAGGCACUCAGGUCAAGGUAGGCAUAAAACGCUGGCCUGAUGAGGGCGACACAGGUCGACUCACAUCCCGUGAG